AGUGAACGCUGGCGGCAGGCCUAACACAUGCAAGUCGAACGACAGCACAGUAAGAUUUUGCCCCUGCGGGUGGCGACUGACGGACGGGUGAGGCGUAGAUCGGAUACUUCUAUUUCGUGGGGGACUACGUAGGGCCACUUACGCUAAUAGCGCAUAUGAUCUACGGGUUGAAUCAGUAGAUCUUCGCAGCUUUCGUGUCUCUAUUAGCUGGUGUCGGAUUAGCUAGUUGGCUGGGUAAAGGCCUACCAAGGCAACGAUGCGUAGCUGAUCUGAGAGGAUGAUCGGCCACACUGGAACUGAGACACGGUCCAGACUCCUACGGGAGGCAGCAGUAGGGAAUAUUGGGCAAUGGGCGCAAGCCUGAUCGAGCCAUGCCGCGUGAGUGAUGAAGGCCUUCGGAUCGUAAAGCCCUGUUGUUGGGGAAGAAAAACUGCAGAUGUAUACACGGCUGUUCUGACGGUACCCAAAGAGAAAGCACCGGCUAACUACGUG
rnacentral:rRNA from 1 species